rnacentral:rRNA from 1 species
GCAAGUCGAGCGACGCAUAUCUAGUUCGUAAGAACCGGGUAUGACGGAGCGGCGAACGGGUGCGUAACACGUGACCAAUCUGCCCCGAAGACUGGGAUAGGCCGAGGAAACUCGGGUUAAUACCGGAUAAUCUCUCUGAACCGCAUGGUUCGUUGAGGAAAGGCUCCGGCGCUUCGGGAUGAGGUCGCGGCCCAUCAGCUUGUUGGUGAGGUAACGGCUCACCAAGGCUACGACGGGUAGCUGGUCUGAGAGGACGAUCAGCCACACUGGAACUGAGAUACGGUCCAGACUCCUACGGGAGGCAGCAGCAGGGAAUCUUGCGCAAUGGGCGAAAGCCUGACGCAGCGACGCCGCGUGGGGGAUGAAGGCCUUCGGGUUGUAAACCCCUUUCAGGAGGGAAGAAAAUGACGGUACCUCCAAAAGAAGCCCCGGCCAACUACGUGCCAGCAGCCGCGGUAAUACGUAGGGGGCGAGCGUUGUCCGGAUUUAUUGGGCGUAAAGGGCUCGUAGGCGGCUUGACAAGUCGGCCGUGAAAACCCAGGGCUCAACCCUGGGACGCCGGUCGAUACUGUCAUAGCUAGGGUCCGGUAGAGGAGAAUGGAAUUCCCGGUGUAGCGGUGAAAUGCGCAGAUAUC